AUACGUAGGUGGCAAGCGUUGUCCGGAAUUAUUGGGCGUAAAGCGCGCGCAGGUGGUUUCUUAAGUCUGAUGUGAAAGCCCACGGCUCAACCGUGGAGGGUCAUUGGAAACUGGGAGACUUGAGUGCAGAAGAGGAUAGUGGAAUUCCAAGUGUAGCGGUGAAAUGCGUAGAGAUUUGGAGGAACACCAGUGGCGAAGGCGACUGUCUGGUCUGUAACUGACACUGAGGCGCGAAAGCGUGGGGAGCAAACAGGAUUAGAUACCCUGGUAGUCCACGCCGUAAACGAUGAGUGCUAGGUGUUAGGGGGUUUCCGCCCCUUAGUGCCGCAGCUAACGCAUUAAGCACUCCGCCUGGGGAGUACGCACGCAAGUGUGAA
rnacentral:rRNA from 1 species